CUGACGGAGUUAGAUUGAAUCCUAGAAAAUUUACCUCCUGGCUACUAAAUACACUCUUCUUAUAAUUUAUUUUUACAUUAUGUGCUUUCAGUCUGCGUUGGACCUUCUCGAGUCUUUCAUCGUGUUCUUUCCUUGUUGUUCCAAAUACGAGGAUAUCGUCCAGGCUUUCAAAAAUGUCUCCCGUUACCGUGUUCACCUGUGCACCUGAAUCGAUCAGAAACCUGCACGGUAAUCCCGCCACAGUUGCAGUUAUCAACCCUUCAUUCUCCAGAGAAGCAAUCUCACAAUGCUGGUCUGCUGGCAAUAUUGAUGGAGCCAUCUAUCAAGCAAAAAAAAACCCAAUGAUUGAAAUUCAAUAUGGAUUUAUUACAACAAAAGAAAAUGGCCAAAGUCAUAAAGUACAAAAUGCAUUUUAACAAGAGGAAAAUAACAAGGACCUUUUCCUCAGAUUUUUCAAUUGUAGCUAAUCUCUUCGAUGGUUGUUGUUGAUAUUGCUUCAGUGACGGACGCUUGAAACCACCAUCAUAACGCUUAGGACAUACUCGCUGCCAGUGCCCAUAUUCCUUGCAUCUCCUGCAUUGGUCAUUAGAAGCUGGACAAACUGACGGAUCAUGAUUGAUACGAUUACAAUUCUUACAACGAACGUCCUUGAACUGGUUCCUUUGUUUCCAAACCUGAUUACCACGAAAAUUAGGACGUCUGCCGAAACGAUUUCCCUGCUCAUCAGAUUGUGAAGACUGCCAAUACUUUUGCUCUGUGAACUUCUUCGGAGUAAAUACUGGGGCUACCAGAGCCUGUUUACGAGCAUCGUGUUUCAAAUUAAAAAAUUCUUCGUUCAUGCGCAUUGCGUCAAGUUCGCGGAUUUUGUCUACCAACUCAGUUAUUGAACCACCACGACCAAUCAUUUUGAAUGCAAUUUUACGUACAUCUGGGUUGGAAGCAUGGCCUGCAACUAUGCCAAUCAUCUCGCUAAACUGUUUAUCGUCUUCGAAGUCACACAAUCGGAUUAUAGCGCCUACUCUAGUGACAAAAUCAAUAUCAGGUUCUCCAGGAUUCUGAAAUGUGAUAGCGAGUUUCCGUCUCUGUAGCAUUAUAUUCGAGCUUGUUGCAAAAUAUGUCUGCAACCGUUGCAUAGCGUUUGCAAAUGGAUGCAAAUCAGGGUCUGGACUGUCCUGUGAGGAUUUAGUAUUCCUGAAGAUUUGAAGAAGCUGCAGUCCAGCUUUCACCUUAAAUAUUGUGUACUGUGUUGCCUCGUCAACGACACCUGCCAGCUUCAUGUAAUCUACCAGUAAGUCACGCCACAUUUCGAAAGUAUGCCGAGUAAUACCUUCUCCUUCUUUAGCCUCUUUGCAUUCCGGGAUUGUUAUCGUUGAAAUCGAAAGUUGGUUUACGGUUGACAAAAACUGAGAACCUUCCAUAUUUGAAGUUAUUGUUGGUCGACGUCCAUUAGUUUCACCUAGAUUGACGUUUUGAGUUUGUCGUCUAGCUCCGCUUGAGCCUGCUUGUAGUUGUUGGAAUUUCUCAGAACUUGAUGUCAUUUCGGGUCGUCUAGUGCUGGACGGUCUAAGAGCCUCACCAAAAUCGAUACUAUUCUCGAUCGAACUCUCUCGUCGAACCCCGUUCAGGCUUGCCUGUAGCGACAAAAUCGCUUCCUUCGCCUUAUCUAGUUCAUCGCUCAAUCUAACAGAUCUUGCACGUUCGUCUGAAAGUUCUUUCAGAACCUGUUUUAACUUCAGGCUUUUCUUUUUCGGGUUGCUGAAAGCCAAUUUAGGAAAUUGAAUUCAGACAAUGAAUUUUCUGACCUAUUGUACAUCUAGCAAAAUUUUAAAUUACUUAAUCAUUAAGAUGGUUCAUAUUUCUUUCGAGGUUAUGUAGAAAAACAUGGGCGAGGAUAGUUGAAUGUCAAUUUGAGCUUUUUUUUUUUUAAUCGUAUCAAGAACUAUUCCAGAAAA